AUGACGAAGAAGAGGUGUAACGAAGGCAAGCACAAACGCAAUGGAUCCAGCCUGGGAAGUGGCGGCAUUCCGGCAACGAAAUAGACCAGCCAAGGAUCUCCCUCACAAGGUCACAGCGAGCGGCAAGCCAUCGGUCUCGCGCCGGUGGUGGAGUCGCGAACUACCCUGGAUAGUGGUGGCACUCGGCACAGUGCUCGUGCUACUCGUGCUCACCGUGUACAGCCUGAUGCCGACUCGAUCCGCGCGAUACAUCGUCUUGACAAGAGACGAAUGGCGUCGAAACCCUUCGGCAAUGUCGGCUUGGCAACAGAAAAACCACCGCACCGCAGACGCCGACCUCUCGUGAAGCGCAGUGUUGUUCCUUUCCUGGUGCACCACAGACAAGCGGGCCGUCUGCAGCGGCUCGGCAGGAGCCGUCGCUUAAGGCACCGUAU